UACGGGGGGGGCAAGCGUUGUUCGGAAUUACUGGGCGUAAAGGGCUCGUAGGCGGCCAACUCAGUCGGACGUGAAAUCCCUCGGCUUAACCGGGGAACUGCGUCCGAUACUGGAUGGCUCGAGUGUGGGAGGGGGAUGCGGAAUUCCAGGUGUAGCGGUGAAAUGCGUAGAUAUCUGGAGGAACACCGGUGGCGAAGGCGGCGUCCUGGACCACGACUGACGCUGAGGAGCGAAAGCCAGGGGAGCAAACGGG
rnacentral:rRNA from 1 species